GCGUUUGUGGUUUAGUGGUAAAAUCCAUCGUUGCCAACAGCUUCAUAUCUUCACAGAUAAGAGCGUUACAACCUCGAUGGGCCCCGGGUUCGAUUCCCGGCGAACGCA